rnacentral:rRNA from 1 species
AUGAACGCUAGCUACAGGCUUAACACAUGCAAGUCGAGGGGCAGCAUGAACUUAGCUUGCUAAGUUUGAUGGCGACCGGCGCACGGGUGAGUAACACGUAUCCAACCUGCCGAUGACUCGGGGAUAGCCUUUCGAAAGAAAGAUUAAUACCCGAUGGCAUAGUUCUUCCGCAUGGUAGAACUAUUAAAGAAUUUCGGUCAUCGAUGGGGAUGCGUUCCAUUAGGUUGUUGGCGGGGUAACGGCCCACCAAGCCUUCGAUGGAUAGGGGUUCUGAGAGGAAGGUCCCCCACAUUGGAACUGAGACACGGUCCAAACUCCUACGGGAGGCAGCAGUGAGGAAUAUUGGUCAAUGGACGAGAGUCUGAACCAGCCAAGUAGCGUGAAGGAUGACUGCCCUAUGGGUUGUAAACUUCUUUUAUACGGGAAUAAAGUGAGGCACGUGUGCCUUUUUGUAUGUACCGUAUGAAUAAGGAUCGGCUAACUCCGUGCCAGCAGCCGCGGUAAUACGGAGGAUCCGAGCGUUAUCCGGAUUUAUUGGGUUUAAAGGGAGCGUAGGCGGACGCUUAAGUCAGUUGUGAAAGUUUGCGGCUCAACCGUAAAAUUGCAGUUGAUACUGGGUGUCUUGAGUACAGUAGAGGCAGGCGGAAUUCGUGGUGUAGCGGUGAAAUGCUUAGAUAUCACGAAGAACUCCGAUUGCGAAGGCAGCCUGCUGGACUGUAACUGACGCUGAUGCUCGAAAGUGUGGGUAUCAAACAGGAUUAGAUACCCUGGUAGUCCACACAGUAAACGAUGAAUACUCGCUGUUUGCGAUAUACAGUAAGCGGCCAAGCGAAAGCGUUAAGUAUUCCACCUGGGGAGUACGCCGGCAACGGUGAAACUCAAAGGAAUUGACGGGGGCCCGCACAAGCAGUGGAGUAUGUGGUUUAAUUCGACGCAACGCGAAGAACCUUACCAAGACUUGACAUAUACGGGAAUACUUAAGAAAUUAAGUAGUCUUUCGGGACUCGUAUACAGGUGAUGCAUGGUUGUCGUCAGCUCGUGCCGUGAGGUGUCGGCUUAAGUGCCAUAACGAGCGCAACCCUUAUCGAUAGUUACCAUCAGGUUAUGCUGGGGACUCUGUCGAGACUGCCGUCGUAAGAUGUGAGGAAGGUGGGGAUGACGUCAAAUCAGCACGGCCCUUACGUCCGGGGCUACACACGUGUUACAAUGGGGGGUACAGAAGGCAGCUACACGGCGACGUGAUGCUAAUCCCUAAAGCCUCUCUCAGUUCGGAUUGGAGUCUGCAACCCGACUCCAUGAAGCUGGAUUCGCUAGUAAUCGCGCAUCAGCCACGGCGCGGUGAAUACGUUCCCGGGCCUUGUACACACCGCCCGUCAAGCCAUGAAAGCCGGGGGUACCUGAAGUACGUAACCGCGAGGAUCGUCCUAGGGUAAAACCGGUAAUUGGGGCU